UACGGGGGGGGCAAGCGUUGUUCGGAAUUACUGGGCGUAAAGGGCGCGUAGGCGGCCUUCUAAGUCGAACGUGAAAUCCCCGGGCUCAACCCGGGAACUGCGUCCGAUACUGGAAGGCUUGAAUCCGGGAGAGGGAUGCGGAAUUCCAGGUGUAGCGGUGAAAUGCGUAGAUAUCUGGAGGAACACCGGUGGCGAAGGCGGGUCUCUGGGCAGUAACUGACGCUGAGGAGCGAAAGCGUGGGGAGCGAACAGG
rnacentral:rRNA from 1 species